CACGUAGGGCGCAAGCGUUGUCCGGAAUUAUUGGGCGUAAAGAGCUCGUAGGCGGUCUGUUGCGUCCGCUGUGAAAACUCGGGGCUUAACCCCGAGCCUGCAGUGGAUACGGGCAGACUAGAGGUAGGUAGGGGAGAAUGGAAUUCCCGGUGUAGCGGUGAAAUGCGCAGAUAUCAGGAGGAACACCGGUGGCGAAGGCGGGUCUCUGGGCCGAUACUGACGCUGAGGAGCGAAAGCGUGGGGAGCGAACAGG
rnacentral:rRNA from 1 species